rnacentral:rRNA from 1 species
AUCGAUGAAGAACGCAGCGAAAUGCGAUAAGUAAUGUGAAUUGCAGAAUUCAGUGAAUCAUCGAAUCUUUGAACGCACCUUGCACCCUUUGGUAUUCCGAAGGGUACGCCCGUUUGAGUGUCAUUGUAAUCUCACUUCAACAACUUUAUUGUUGUUUGAAUGUGGACUUGGAUGUUGCCGUGUCAUUACGGCUCGUCUCAAAUGCCUGAGUGUACCCUGUUUUGCAGCGUAUCCAGUGUAAUAAACAUUUCACUAGAGUUGGUCGAAAGACCGCGUUUGCGAUUUGGGCUCUAUGCUUCAAACCGUCCGCUAUGUGGACAAUUUCUUGACAAUUUGACCUCAAAUCGGGUGGGACUACCCGCUGAACUUAAGCAUAUCAAUAAGCGGAGGAAAAGAAACUAACAAGGAUUCCCCUAGUAACGGCGAGUGAAGAGGGAAAAGCUCAAAUUUUGAAUCUGGUGUCUUUGACUCCCGAGUUGUAAUCUAGAGAAGUGUUUUCCGUGUCGGACCGUGUACAAGUUCCCUGGAACGGGGCGUCAUAGAGGGUGAGAAUCCCGUAUAUGCCACGGACUACCGAUGCUCUGUGAUACACUCUCAACGAGUCGAGUUGUUUGGGAAUGCAGCUCAAAAUGGGUGGUAAAUUCCAUCUAAAGCUAAAUAUUGGCGAGAGACCGAUAGCGAACAAGUACCGUGAGGGAAAGAUGAAAAGCACUUUGGAAAGAGAGUGAAACAGUACGUGAAAUUGUUGAAAGGGAAGCGUUUGAAGUCAGUCACAUCUGUUGGGGUUCAGCCUGGCUUCUGCCUGGUGUAUUUCCUUUCCGAUGGGUCAGCAUCAGUUUCGACCGAGGGAAAAAGACAUUUGGAAUGUGGCUGUCUUCGGGCAGUGUUAUAGCCUUGUGUUGUAUGUCUCGGUUGGGACUGAGGAUUGCAGCGCGCCAUAAAUGGCCGGGGGUCGCUCCUCUCGACACGCGCUUAGGAUGCUGGCAUAAUGGCUUUAAGCGACCCGUCUUGAAACACGG